GUGCUCGCUUUGGCAACACAUAUACUAACAUUGGAACGAUACAGAGAAGAUUAUCAUGGUCCCAUGCGCAAAGAAGAAUGUGAACAACCAAGUACGGGGGUGGUAAAAUUUU